UGCCUACGGGAGGCAGCAGUGGGGAAUAUUGGGCAAUGGGCGCAAGCCUGACCCAGCAACGCCGCGUGAAGGAAGAAGGCUUUCGGGUUGUAAACUUCUUUUCUCAGGGACGAAGCAAGUGACGGUACCUGAGGAAUAAGCCACGGCUAACUACGUGCCAGCAGCCGCGGUAAUACGUAGGUGGCAAGCGUUAUCCGGAUUUACUGGGUGUAAAGGGAGCGUAGGCGGCCUGGCAAGCCUGAUGUGAAAUACCGGGGCCCAACCCCGGGGCUGCAUUGGGAACUGCCAGGCUGGAGUGCCGGAGA
rnacentral:rRNA from 1 species